AGCUUCGGAGCUGAUGGAGAGACAGAAAGCACGCAACUGGAAAAAUUCAAACAUGGAAUUCAUGGAUUAAAUGGUCACCAAUUGUUUCAGCAUUGCGUAUUGAAUAAUACAACCUUCUUCCACUGCCGUGAAAUGUCAACAGCUGCUCUCCCACUAGAUAGGGCGUAGCUUUCCACAGGUCGGCCAUUUUCUUUCUAUUCAAGAUGGUUACAUUCCACAAUAGUACUUUUACCUUCUUGCCACAUCAUGCAGCCUGCUAAACCAUUGUGUUUAUAUAUUUUACCUUUCAAGAAUUCUAUCUGUAUACAGUUUAGAACAGUAAUUUUCAAAUAGGAUAUCUAUCUGUUCCAGGUGUUAACUGUUUUGUUUUUUUUUUUUUUUUUUGUAUAAUUCUGACAUUCCAGUUGUGUGUUUACAAGGAAGUACUGAAGGGGUUAAUGCAAAUUUUUCUGUUCCUCAAGUAUUCAGAGAGUUAAAGCUGUGUGGAUUUGGUCCCUGGAAUUCUCUAGAGGGAAAUAAGAGGGAAAUGUAAGAAAUGCAUGAGAUGCAGAAAUGUUUUCAAUUAUGUUGCUGGAAGUAAUACGAUCUCAGGAUCUAAAGGAUGGAGGGUAAGUCUCAAUACAUGCUACCACUGUCAUUAUAUCUUCAAGACGUGAAAACAUUGCUGUGGUCCAUCUCUAUUUACUGCAAGCAGAAAGGUCAAGACAGAAAACAUAGAGGCUUUUAGUAGGAGGUAAGUUCAACAGUAACAGAAGUAUUUGACAGUUAAAAAUCACCUGCUGUUCUCUGUUUCACCUCUUACUCCAUCCCAGUUCCAUCCACCCUCCCACCUCCUGCCUACUGACUUCUAACCACAGCCACUGGUCUUUUCUGAUUUUGGAUGAAAAAGAGGGUCAGUAUCAGGCUGCUUUCUUUGCCUGCUGUUAUUGCAAGGGACUCUUUUGGCUCAUAGACACAGCUCCAGUCAUUUCCUGACUUGCCAUAUUAGGCUGUGAUUUGUUUAUGACUGGAGUCUGGUUUCCCUGGCAACAGAAGCUCACCAGGGCAUGCGCAUUGGCUCAUCUGCAGUGGCAGAAUGCGGCUGUGGGGCUUGGGGAGGGAUCUUCCCCCCCUUCCCACACCCCCGCAGUGACUGGAAGAGGUAUUCUACAGACGUCAAUUUUUCUCUUCUUAAACUGCAACUGUUACUGCAGAUAAGCAUUGCAUUUUUUUAAAUCCUCACAAUACUUUGAGAUUUCUUCCUUGUUUUCCCUCCUAGCACAGCCACAGUCAAUAGUUUCACCAGUGAUCAUGACGUUUUUCCAGUUAUUAUGGAAAAUAUCUCUAGGUCCCAAAGGGAUCCUUAUGGUGUGGAAACAAAUGGCCUGGUUUCAAAGCUCCAUCUCUUUCUCGAUAGUUGUAUGAAAUUCCUUAGUCAUCCUGUUCCUCAGCUUCAUCAGCUGUAAAAUAGGAAUAAUAACAGCACAUUUAGAAAAGUGUUACAUAUUAACAAUUAAAAAGUAUUCUUUAUUGUUAUUUGUAGAUGUCAAAAAAUUAUCUGGCACAGACUGGUGCCUGCACUGUACAGCCCAUGCUGAACAAAUUACAGACACAGGCAUUUACCCCUACAGAAUGCAGAUGCCUCUCAUAGCCCACAAAUGACCUACAGCAGAGUGUUGCACUCUCCUGAGGCUCAUUACUAUAUACCAUAGUAAAAGAAUAGCCCCUUAUCACAUGGACACCUUCCAUGACAUUAGGCUCUUUUAGAUUGCACACAAGUUCUCUUCACCACAGAGACCAAGCGAAAGGACAUUUAUUAGCACCACAUGGUACAUCUUACCUCACCAUGAAGACACUGGCUGUAACACAGAGAAAAUCUCAACACUAUAGCUCAUCUCCACAUCACACAGACUCUAUCCAGAACACACAAAAGUAUACAGACUUAUUUCACACAACACAGAUUCUUCC
ensembl:processed_transcript